rnacentral:rRNA from 1 species
GGGGAAUAUUGGACAAUGGGGGGAACCCUGAUCCAGCCAUGCCGCGUGUGUGAAGAAGGCCUUAUGGUUGUAAAGCACUUUAAGCGAGGAGGAGGCUACUUUGGUUAAUACCUAAAGAUAGUGGACGUUACUCGCAGAAUGAGCACCGGCUAACUCUGUGCCAGCAGCCGCGGUAAUACAGAGGGUGCGAGCGUUAAUCGGAUUUACUGGGCGUAAAGCGUGCGUAGGCGGCUUUUUAAGUCGGAUGUGAAAUCCCCGAGCUUAACUUGGGAACUGCAUUCGAUACUGGGAAGCUAGAGUAUGGGAGAGGAUGGUAGAAUUCCAGGUGUAGCGGUGAAAUGCGUAGAGAUCUGGAGGAAUACCGAUGGCGAAGGCAGCCAUCUGGCCUAAUACUGACGCUGAGGUACGAAAGCAUGGGGAGCAAAC